rnacentral:rRNA from 1 species
UACAGAGGGUGCAAGCGUUAAUCGGAAUUACUGGGCGUAAAGCGCGCGUAGGCGGUUUGUUAAGUCGGAUGUGAAAUCCCCGGGCUCAACCUGGGCAUUGCAUCCGAUACUGGCUGACUAGAGUGUGGGAGAGGAAGGUAGAAUUCCAGGUGUAGCGGUGAAAAUGCGUAGAGAUCUGGAGGAAUACCGAUGGCGAAGGCAGCCUUCUGGCCUAACACUGACGCUGAGGUGCGAAAGCAUGGGGAGCAAACAGG